rnacentral:lncRNA from 1 species
UCCAGGGUGGGGCAGAAGACUCGGAGGUGGUACGUGGCUCCCAGCCCAGGAGGGUGAGGCCAGCGAGCGUCAUGGACACGGUGGACCUCCAAGCACCAGGAAAGGACAGCGAGAGCAGCCCGGGCCCUGCCUCCAGCGUCCUGAGACACAGGUGGGCUGGACAGGACCCCUGCAAUCCCACCCGGCAGGCUGCUGUCCUCCACCUGAGCCCCACGGGCCCUGGACACCCCACCACAUACUCCCGGCCAGCUCCCAGGCCGGCCAUGCCUACUGGACCCACUGGGUUUGGACACUGGAGCUGCUGGCGGUCAGCAAUGGAGGGAGUAGUCCCCAGGUUGUCAGGCAGAGCUGGACACCCUCCACUGGGGCCAGGGGGCCCUGUCCUCACAGUGACCCCUCCAGAGGCCCUCAGGCCUGGGUGCUCCUGCAUGGCUGGCCUGGCCUGCCCUCCUGGCCUCGUCUCCCUCUUGCUGCCACACCCUGGCCACAGUCUCCUUACCCGGCUCUGUCUGGGGGCCCCUGUGUCCUGGGACCUGCUCCCUCUGGCUCCCAGCGGGGCCGAGUGCAGCCCUCUGGUCCGGCACCCUGACAGCUGCUGGAAACCUGCGGCCACUUGGUGAUCUGGAGGCCAGGCCAGGGCUUGGGGAUGGGGGGUUUCAGUCAAGGACCCUGGUGACACUUGGCCGCUUCUGGGAUGGGGCAGAGGGAUGCCCCGAGGGGCUGUGGGCCUGCUCUCUGUACUGUGUUGGGGUCUGAUGUUUCUCACAGGCCCUGGUAGAAGCCACCUGGGUUAGGACAAUGGGGACCAGCCCGUCUCCAUGGGCGAGUCUGGGGGAACACUGGCCCACAGAGGGUGCGCCGGCCCGGGCUGCUCAGGUGCUGGAGGCCAGUGGGACCAGCCCCGACACCUGGAAAGCCUGGGGUGGCCAGCAGUGACAUGGCCUCAGAAAGGCUGCUGAGGCUCCUGCCCUCCUGAGGGUCUCUCCUGUUGAGGGCCACAGCCGAGUCAGGAGGACGCAUGGCAUUUUUGCCAGAAGUAGUGGUUGAGAG